rnacentral:rRNA from 1 species
AUGCCAAGAUACAAAAUAUUUUUCUGGCUGUUUCUUCAUGACAGAAUUAAUACCAGAGGGCUACUGGACAGGAAGAUCUUUCCCCUGCCCUCCAAGAAAUGUGCCAUAUGCACCCUUGAUACAGAUGAAACAAUUCUCCACUUGUUUUGGGAUUGUCCUUUUGCAUUCGACUGCUGGAGCUCAAUCAACAUACAGAGAGUUCGGGGAAUUUCAGCGAUUGAUGAGAUUUUGCUUAGUAUGGAAGUUCUUCCAAAGCAAUUUGCCCUCAAUAUAAUCAGAGUAAAUUGCAAGAAACCACCAGUUUGA